rnacentral:rRNA from 1 species
AUUGAACGCUGGCGGUAUGCUUAACACAUGCAAGUCGAGCGGCAGCACGAGGAAAGUUUACUUUCUUCGGUGGCGAGUGGCGGACGGGUGAGUAAUACAUAGGAAUCUACCUUUUAGUCUAGGAUAACUACCCGAAAGGGUGGCUAAUACUGGAUGUGGACUACGGUUUAAAGCAGGGGACCUUCGGGCCUUGCGCUAAGAGAUGAGCCUAUGUGGGAUUAGCUAGUUGGUGAGGUAAUGGCUCACCAAGGCGACGAUCUCUAGCUGGUUUGAGAGGAUGAUCAGCCACACUGGGACUGAGACACGGGCCCAGACUCCUACGGGGAGGCAGCAGGUGGGGGGAAUAUUGGGACAAUGGGGGCGAAAGCCUGAUCCAGCAAUACCCGCGUGU